AUGCCCACACGACUGAGCCACCCAGGCGCCCCUUAUUAUCUCCACUUUAAAGGAUGCAAGUUCCAGGAAGACAAGAAUUAUUGUCUAUUUUGUCCACUGUUAUAUCCUCAGUGCCAGAAGAGAUAAUAAAUAGGAUCAGAGAGGUCAUCACAGAUGAUGUCAGGUAUCCAAGUCUGGAAGACUGAGGAAAUUUCAGCAUGCAGACAAAGGUAGAAAGAACACAGUAUAGAAAGAGGGGAUAAACACCAGAUUCCAGAAGGGCACACUGUCGCUCACCUAUAUACUGUACCUCGCGCUUGGGGCGAUGAUAUUUUAAGCCUUGGAGAAAGACUUGGAAGUACAGCAGCACCAGCUGGCAGUUAAAACAAAAAUUGCGUUUCUGGAAAAUCGUUCUAGUAUGACUCAAGAAGAUGUGGAACUCUUCGUGCAGCUGCUUGAACAAACUGAGACACAUGGGUCAAAUCUGACCUGAAUGUCCUGUUCGCCCAAGCAGACCCCAAGAUCAAGGGGAGAGAGGGGACAAGGAAGAACACUGCAGCCUUCUUUUUUCUUUCCACUUCAGGAUGUAUUUACAGAUUCUCAGACCUUUGGACUCAGAUUGCAACUCUACCAGUGGCUCUCCUGGAUGUCUGGCUUGCAACAGCAGACCAUGGGACUUCUCAGCCUCCAUUAUCAAUGUCCCUGCAUAGCUGCAAUUCAGCAAUGCCAAAGAAGAAAGGAGAGCCUCCAGUUCCCAGCUAUGUUUUUCUCUCUGCAUAGCAGUAAUAGUGUCUUCAGUGUUUCCUUACAUGGAUCAAGUGGAAGAAAAAGGAAUCGGAUUGGUCCAUGAGCACUGUUUGGCCUGGGGAAUAGGGUCUUUCUCCAUCCUUAGCCUAUCAUGGCCAUAUUUGCUUUAUCACUUUCAUCUGUUUGGCUUGAAAUAUCUCCGCACUCUUUAUGUUUGGGACUGGCAGGCAAAGAAAAGAAGUCUUGGAGCAGCCCCACUCCAGUGGAAAUAAAGGACAUUUUGCAGCCUGUCUUCCCAGACAGCCAAAGAGCUCUGAACCCCAAGAUUCUGGAUGAUUCCUGACUUGAGCCUCACAAUCCUCCCAAAGCCAGCAUGAUAUUUCCCGCAAAAACCCCAGCAGCCUGACCGCCUCAUCAAAAGUUUAGUAGCCGAGAACUUAAAAAGAAAAAGAAAAAAAAGGCUACUAUUGCUUAUGUUCCUAGCAUCAACCAUUUUACAAACUGCAUUUCAGAAUAUUUGCUAACAUGUUCUGACAAAGAAUAAUAAUUGAUCAGAAGCUCCCCAGCUUGCGUGAAGAACAACAACAAUAAUAGUCAUUAAGAGCCUGUUCUGGGUCUUUCUCUCACGCUAAGGCUCGAGUUUGGUUGUGAUGAAAAGAAAGUCACUGUAAGAACAUUACGUCUACGUUACUCAGCUCUCACUCAGGAAGCUUAUUAAUCUCAGUGAGUAGAUCUGGCACAACUUUGCAGAACUCUAGAAGUCACAUAGCUGGAGUAGAGGGAGCGAUUCUGUGUAUGUUAUUUCACCACAUUUACAGACCAUAGAAAUAAUGUAGCCAAUCGACAUGCCCUCACUGACAUCUAGUGCUCCGAUUUCUCUCCACCAGCUCUGAUUUGAGAUGGUUUGACUAGUUAAAGCUCAUUGCACAAUGGCUGGUGCUACAGAGCCGGAAAUGCCAGGUCAGCAACCAAACCACUAAAGUCAUAAGUGCCUGCUGCAUAAAUGCCCAUGUUUCAUCUUUAGCGGGCUUUAAAGUUAAAUAGCGAAGACAGACAAUGCGAAGGAAAAUAUGACUGCGAUAAAACACGGCAACUACACGAUGGCUAAAAUUAAGUCUUCAUAUCAAUCAUGCAUUUUUAAUGUGAACAUUUAUGGAAAUCUCUCUUAAUGUUUAGGCAGUAUUUUUCUUCAUUGGUUAUUUAUGAUGCUGUGAGCUGCAAGCACAAGCUAAAUGGGAAAGCCAGAGAAUGGGAUUUGCUUAACAGUCGACAACCUUGUCCUACUGUAAAUAAAAAAGAGAAAGCCCAUCAUCUCUUCAAGCGCAUCUUCAUAAAUAAACUUAAAAAGAAAAGC